AACGAACGCUGGCGGCAUGGAUUAGGCAUGCAAGUCGAACGAUGAGAUGGAAGCUUGCUUCCGUCGAUUAGUGGCGAAAGGGUGAGUAACGCGUGAGUAAUCUGCCCCUAAGUUGGGAAUAGCCUCGGGAAACCGGGAUUAAUACCGAAUGUGGUCUCCCGUCGCAUGACGGGAAAACUAAAGAUUUAUCGCUUAGGGAUGAGCUCGCGUCCCAUUAGCUUGUUGGUAAGGUAACGGCUUACCAAGGCAACGAUGGGUAGCUGGUCUGAGAGGACGACCAGCCACACUGGGACUGAGACACUGCCCAGACUCCUACGGGAGGCUGCAGUCGAGAAUCUUCCGCAAUGGGCGAAAGCCUGACGGAGCAAUGCCGCGUGCAGGAUGAAGGCCUUUGGGUUGUAAACUGCUGUCACCAGGGAAGAAAUCAAUGACGGUAC
rnacentral:rRNA from 1 species